rnacentral:tRNA from 1 species
GAGUUUGUCCGGUAAAACGAGAACUGCUAAUUCCUCGCCCCCAUGGUUCAACUCCAUGGCCUACUCG